rnacentral:misc_RNA from 1 species
GAUGAAGAACGUAGCGAAAUGCGAUAAGUAGUGUGAAUUGCAGAAUUCAGUGAAUCAUCGAAUCUUUGAACGCACAUUGCGCCCCUUGGUAUUCCAUGGGGCAUGCCUGUUCGAGCGUCAUUUACACCCUCAAGCUCUGCUUGGUGUUGGGCGUCUGUCCCGCUGCUUUGCGCGGACUCGCCUCAAAGGUAUUGGCAGCGAUCAUGCCAGCUUCUCGCGCAGCACAUUGCGCUUCUUGAAGUUCUGGUGGAUCAGCGUCCAUUAAGCUUACCUUCAUGACUUGACCUCGGAUCAGGUAGGGAUACCCACUGAACUUAAGCAUAUCAAUAAGCGGAGGA